CUCGGAGUUUGAUCCUGGCUCAGAUGAACGCUGCGGAUGCUUACACAUGCAAGUCGAACGGUAGAGGGGGCAACCCCUUGAGAGUGGCGAACGGGUGAGUAAUAUAUCGGAACGUGCCCAGUCGUGGGGGAUAACGUAGCGAAAGUUACGCUAAUACCGCAUACGAUCUAAGGAUGUAAGCGGGGAUCGCAAGACCUCGCGCGAUUGGAGCGGCCGAUAUCAGAUUAGGUAGUUGGUGAGGUAAAGGCUCACCAAGCCAACGAUCUGUAGCUGGUCUGAGAGGACGACCAGCCACACUGGAACUGAGACACGGUCCAGACUCCUACGGGA
rnacentral:rRNA from 1 species